UACGUAGGGGGCAAGCGUUAUCCGGAUUUACUGGGUGUAAAGGGAGCGUAGGUGGCGAUGCAAGUCUGAUGUGAAAACCCGGGGCUCAACCCCGGGACUGCAUUGGAAACUGUGUUGCUAGAGUGCAGGAGAGGUAAGUGGAAUUCCUAGUGUAGCGGUGAAAUGCGUAGAUAUUAGGAGGAACACCAGUGGCGAAGGCGGCUUACUGGACUGUAACUGACACUGAGGCUCGAAAGCGUGGGGAGCAAACAGG
rnacentral:rRNA from 1 species